ACACUGCUAACGAGUCCCAAAUAGGACGAAACAGCUGUCCAGUAC
rnacentral:hammerhead_ribozyme from 1 species